rnacentral:rRNA from 1 species
GGGUUGUGAGGUUAAGCGACUAAGCGUACACGGUGGAUGCCCUGGCAGUCAGAGGCGAUGAAGGACGUGCUAAUCUGCGAUAAGCGUCGGUAAGGUGAUAUGAACCGUUAUAACCGGCGAUUUCCGAAUGGGGAAACCCAGUGUGAUUCGUCACACUAUCAUUAACUGAAUCCAUAGGUUAAUGAGGCGAACCGGGGGAACUGAAACAUCUAAGUACCCCGAGGAAAAGAAAUCAACCGAGAUUCCCCCAGUAGCGGCGAGCGAACGGGGAGCAGCCCAGAGCCUGAAUCAGUGUGUGUGUUAGUGGAAGCGUCUGGAAAGGCGCGCGAUACAGGGUGACAGCCCCGUACACAAAAAUGCACAUGCUGUGAGCUCGAUGAGUAGGGCGGGACACGUGGUAUCCUGUCUGAAUAUGGGGGGACCAUCCUCCAAGGCUAAAUACUCCUGACUGACCGAUAGUGAACCAGUACCGUGAGGGAAAGGCGAAAAGAACCCCGGCGAGGGGAGUGAAAAAGAACCUGAAACCGUGUACGUACAAGCAGUGGGAGCACAGAGCAAUCUGUGUGACUGCGUACCUUUUGUAUAAUGGGUCAGCGACUUAUAUUCUGUAGCAAGGUUAACCGAAUAGGGGAGCCGAAGGGAAACCGAGUCUUAACUGGGCGUUAAGUUGCAGGGUAUAGACCCGAAACCCGGUGAUCUAGCCAUGGGCAGGUUGAAGGUUGGGUAACACUAACUGGAGGACCGAACCGACUAAUGUUGAAAAAUUAGCGGAUGACUUGUGGCUGGGGGUGAAAGGCCAAUCAAACCGGGAGAUAGCUGGUUCUCCCCGAAAGCUAUUUAGGUAGCGCCUCGUGAAUUCAUCUCCGGGGGUAGAGCACUGUUUCGGCAAGGGGGUCAUCCCGACUUACCAACCCGAUGCAAACUGCGAAUACCGGAGAAUGUUAUCACGGGAGACACACGGCGGGUGCUAACGUCCGUCGUGAAGAGGGAAACAACCCAGACCGCCAGCUAAGGUCCCAAAGUCAUGGUUAAGUGGGAAACGAUGUGGGAAGGCCCAGACAGCCAGGAUGUUGGCUUAGAAGCAGCCAUCAUUUAAAGAAAGCGUAAUAGCUCACUGGUCGAGUCGGCCUGCGCGGAAGAUGUAACGGGGCUAAACCAUGCACCGAAGCUGCGGCAGCGACGCUUAUGCGUUGUUGGGUAGGGGAGCGUUCUGUAAGCCUGUGAAGGUGUACUGUGAGGUAUGCUGGAGGUAUCAGAAGUGCGAAUGCUGACAUAAGUAACGAUAAAGCGGGUGAAAAGCCCGCUCGCCGGAAGACCAAGGGUUCCUGUCCAACGUUAAUCGGGGCAGGGUGAGUCGACCCCUAAGGCGAGGCCGAAAGGCGUAGUCGAUGGGAAACAGGUUAAUAUUCCUGUACUUGGUGUUACUGCGAAGGGGGGACGGAGAAGGCUAUGUUGGCCGGGCGACGGUUGUCCCGGUUUAAGCGUGUAGGCUGGUUUUCCAGGCAAAUCCGGAAAACUAAGGCUGAGGCGUGAUGACGAGGCACUACGGUGCUGAAGCAACAAAUGCCCUGCUUCCAGGAAAAGCCUCUAAGCAUCAGGUAACAUCAAAUCGUACCCCAAACCGACACAGGUGGUCAGGUAGAGAAUACCAAGGCGCUUGAGAGAACUCGGGUGAAGGAACUAGGCAAAAUGGUGCCGUAACUUCGGGAGAAGGCACGCUGAUAUGUAGGUGAAGUCCCUCGCGGAUGGAGCUGAAAUCAGUCGAAGAUACCAGCUGGCUGCAACUGUUUAUUAAAAACACAGCACUGUGCAAACACGAAAGUGGACGUAUACGGUGUGACGCCUGCCCGGUGCCGGAAGGUUAAUUGAUGGGGUUAGCGCAAGCGAAGCUCUUGAUCGAAGCCCCGGUAAACGGCGGCCGUAACUAUAACGGUCCUAAGGUAGCGAAAUUCCUUGUCGGGUAAGUUCCGACCUGCACGAAUGGCGUAAUGAUGGCCAGGCUGUCUCCACCCGAGACUCAGUGAAAUUGAACUCGCUGUGAAGAUGCAGUGUACCCGCGGCAAGACGGAAAGACCCCGUGAACCUUUACUAUAGCUUGACACUGAACAUUGAGCCUUGAUGUGUAGGAUAGGUGGGAGGCUUGGAAGUGUGGACGCCAGUCUGCAUGGAGCCGACCUUGAAAUACCACCCUUUAAUGUUUGAUGUUCUAACGUUGACCCGUAAUCCGGGUUGCGGACAGUGUCUGGUGGGUAGUUUGACUGGGGCGGUCUCCUCCUAAAGAGUAACGGAGGAGCACGAAGGUUGGCUAAUCCUGGUCGGACAUCAGGAGGUUAGUGCAAUGGCAUAAGCCAGCUUGACUGCGAGCGUGACGGCGCGAGCAGGUGCGAAAGCAGGUCAUAGUGAUCCGGUGGUUCUGAAUGGAAGGGCCAUCGCUCAACGGAUAAAAGGUACUCCGGGGAUAACAGGCUGAUACCGCCCAAGAGUUCAUAUCGACGGCGGUGUUUGGCACCUCGAUGUCGGCUCAUCACAUCCUGGGGCUGAAGUAGGUCCCAAGGGUAUGGCUGUUCGCCAUUUAAAGUGGUACGCGAGCUGGGUUUAGAACGUCGUGAGACAGUUCGGUCCCUAUCUGCCGUGGGCGCUGGAGAACUGAGGGGGGCUGCUCCUAGUACGAGAGGACCGGAGUGGACGCAUCACUGGUGUUCGGGUUGUCAUGCCAAUGGCACUGCCCGGUAGCUAAAUGCGGAAGAGAUAAGUGCUGAAAGCAUCUAAGCACGAAACUUGCCCCGAGAUGAGUUCUCCCUGACUCCUUGAGAGUCCUGAAGGAACGUUGAAGACGACGACGUUGAUAGGCCGGGUGUGUAAGCGCAGCGAUGCGUUGAGCUAACCGGUACUAAUGAACCGUGAGGCUUAACCUUACAACGCCGAAG